GAUGAACGCUGGCGGCGUGCCUAAUACAUGCAAGUCGAGCGAACAGACGCGGCGCUUGCUCCUCUGACGUUAGCGGCGGACGGGUGAGUAACACGUGGAUAACCUCCCUAUAAGACUGGGAUCACUUCGGGAAACCGGCGCUAAUACCGGAUAAUAUAUUGAACCGCAUGGUUCAAUAGUGAAAGACGGUUUUGCUGUCACUUAUAGAUGUAUCCGCGCCGCAUUAGCUAGUUGGUACGGUAACGGCUUACCAAGGCGACGAUGCGUAGCCGACCUGAGAGGGUGAUCGGCCACACGGGAACGGAGACACGGUCCAGACUCCUACGGGAGGCAGCAGUAGGGAAUCGUCCGCAAUGGGCGAAAGCCUGACGGAGCAACGCGGCGUGAGUGAUGAAGGUCUUCGGAUCGUAAAGCUCUGUUAUUAGGGAAGAACAAAUGUGUAAGUAACUAUGCACGUCUUGACGGUACCUAAUCAGAAAGCCACGGCUAACUACGUG
rnacentral:rRNA from 1 species